UACGUAGGGACCAAGCGUUGUUCGGAUUUACUGGGCGUAAAGGGCGCGUAGGCGGCGUGACAAGUCACUUGUGAAAUCUCUGGGCUUAACCCAGAACGGCCAAGUGAAACUGUUGUGCUAGAGUGCAGAAGGGGCAAUCGGAAUUCUCGGUGUAGCGGUGAAAUGCGUAGAUAUCUGGAGGAACACCGGUGGCGAAGGCGGCAUCCUGGACCGAGAUUGACGCUGAGGCGCGAAAGCCAGGGGAGCAAACGGG
rnacentral:rRNA from 1 species